CCCUUUUGAACGGGAUAACCCAGCGAAAGUUGGACUAAUACCGUAUGCUGCAUAUUAUUCGCAUGAUUAAUAUGUAAAAGACUGCUCUUCGGAGCAUUCACAAAGGGAUGGGCCUGCGUUCCAUUAGUUAGUUGGUGAGGUAACGGCUCACCAAGGCAGCGAUGGAUAGCUGGUUUGAGAGAGUGAUCAGCCACACUGGGACUGAGAUACGGCCCAG
rnacentral:rRNA from 1 species